UACGUAGGGGGCUAGCGUUGUCCGGAUUUAUUGGGCGUAAAGAGCGUGUAGGCGGCCAGGUAGGUCUGGUGUGAAAACUCGAGGCUUAACCUCGAGAUGUCAUCGGAAACCAUUUGGCUAGAGUCCGGAAGAGGAGAGUGGGAAUUCCUGGUGUAGCGGUGAAAUGCGCAGAUAUCAGGAAGAACACCAGUGGCGAAAGGCGGCU
rnacentral:rRNA from 1 species